AUUAGACUUUUAUAGUCAGGUAAAUGAGUAAUAACUGCAUGAAAGUUGGUGGUUGCAAGUAGCAUAAACCUUGGUAGAAAAUUUCCUUUUUUGGACAAUAUAUAUUUUUUUAUCUAUAAUGUAUUUUUUUGAUCCAUGGUAUGUGUUAUAUAACAGAUGUUUUCAAUUGAUUUGAUAUUUCAACUUAUUUAUGUUCUACACAGUUAUAAAUAUGCAAGUGAAAAUUAUUUAGUGU